GGCGCCAUCGUCUAGCGGUUAAGACGACGGGUUUUCAGCCCGUAAACCGGGGUUCGACUCCCCGUGGCGCUG
rnacentral:tRNA from 1 species